rnacentral:rRNA from 1 species
UACGUAGGGACCAAGCGUGGUUCGGAUUUACUGGGCGUAAAGGGCGCGUAGGCGGCUUGACAAGUCACUUGUGAAAUCUCCGGGCUUAACUCGGAACGGCCAAGUGAAACUGUCAUGCUAGAGUGCAGAAGGGGCAAUCGGAAUUCUUGGUGUAGCGGUGAAAUGCGUAGAUAUCAGGAAGAACACCAAUGGCGAAAGCAGCUUUCUGGGACGGUACUGACGCUGAGACGCGAAAGCGUGGGGAGCGAACAGG